rnacentral:lncRNA from 1 species
CUGACAGCAUUGCCCUACACAGGGGAUUUCUACUCUUCCUUUACAAAGCUGGUUUCUUCCAAACAUUAAGAUCUCUUACAGGGACUGAAUGAUAAAUGGAUGAAUGAGGAGGAUGAUGAAGGGGGAAGGUGAUGGAAGAAUUAGGACAAGGAGGCUAUGCAGGAGAUUGGAAACAUGGGCAUAAUUCCUAGCUCCCUUCAGAUUGCUAGAGUUGCAACAAUCUUCCUAGGAGCUGAGGAAGAGGAUCUAAC